rnacentral:rRNA from 1 species
AUUGAACGCUGGCGGCAUGCCUUACACAUGCAAGUCGAACGGUAACAGGUUAAGCUGACGAGUGGCGAACGGGUGAGUAAUGUAUCGGAACGUGCCCAGUCGUGGGGGAUAACUGCUCGAAAGAGCAGCUAAUACCGCAUACGACCUGAGGGUGAAAGCGGGGGAUCGCAAGACCUCGCGCGAUUGGAGCGGCCGAUAUCAGAUUAGGUAGUUGGUGAGGUAAAGGCUCACCAAGCCGACGAUCUGUAGCUGGUCUGAGAGGACGACCAGCCAGACUGGGACUGAAACACGGACCAGACUCCUACGGGAGGCAGCAGUGGGGAAUUUUGGACAAUGGGCGCAAGCCUGAUCCAGCCAUUCCGCGUGCGGGAAGAAGGCCUUCGGGUUGUAAACCGCUUUUGUCAGGGAAGAAAAGGUUCUGGCUAAUACUUGGGACUCAUGACGGUACCUGAAGAAUAAGCACCGGCUAACUACGUGCCAGCCGCCGCAGUAAGAC